GUUGACAAUGAUGACAUUAUUUUAACUCCGCUUGAUUUCCUCUUGGAAGGUGAAAGCAACUUUAGUCACUACCUCUUCUGAGACAC
ensembl:snoRNA small nucleolar RNA, C/D box 11